GUGAGGAAUAUUGGUCAAUGGGCGAUGGCCUGAACCAGCCAAGUAGCGUGAAGGAUGACUGCCCUAUGGGUUGUAAACUUCUUUUAUAAAGGAAUAAAGUCGGGUAUGCAUACCCGUUUGCAUGUACUUUAUGAAUAAGGAUCGGCUAACUCCGUGCCAGCAGCCGCGGUAAUACGGAGGAUCCGAGCGUUAUCCGGAUUUAUUGGGUUUAAAGGGAGCGUAGAUGGAUGUUUAAGUCAGUUGUGAAAGUUUGCGGCUCAACCGUAAAAUUGCAGUUGAUACUGGAUGUCUUGAGUGCAGUUGAGGCAGGCGGAAUUCGUGGUGUAGCGGUGAAAUGCUUAGAUAUCACGAAGAACUCCGAUUGCGAAGGCAGCCUGCUAAGCUGCAACUGACAUUGAGGCUCGAAAGUGUGGGUAUCAAACAGGAUUAGAUACCCCGGUAGUCC
rnacentral:rRNA from 1 species